rnacentral:lncRNA from 1 species
CUCAGUCUCACUCUGUUGCCCAGGCUAGAGUGCAGUGGCACAAUCUCAGCUCACUGCAACCUCCGCCUCCUGAGUUCAAGCAAUUCUCCUUCCUCAGCCUCCUGAGUAGCUGGGAUUACAGGCACAUGCCUCCUCGCCCAGCUAAUUUUGGUAUUUUUAGUAGAGACGGGGUUUCACCAUGUUGGCCAGGCUGGCCUCAAACUCCUGACCUCAGGUGAUCCACCCGCCUCGGCCUCCCAAAGUGCUGGGAUUCCAGGCGUGAGGCACCGUGCCCGGCCCACACUUCCAAUCUCAUCUGCAGCUACACACCCGAGUAUCUAGGGUGGUCACACAUGAAACAAGUUUUUUUUCCUGUGGUUUCUCCAGGUUAAGUGAAAACAAAAUAGGGCAAUAGGGCUUCUGUUUGAGACUAAGAUGUUAGCUUCAUUACUUUGCAAGAAGACUGAUUCUAGCUUUUGUUAUUCAUUGAAGCAAUGUUCUUAAGCACUGGCUUCCAGAGUUAUGUCUCUACUAAAAAUACAAAAAUGAGCAGGGUGUGGUGAUAUGUGCCUGUAAUCCCAGCUACCCGGGAGGCUCAGGCAGGAGAAAUCGCUUGAACCCGGGAGGUGGAGACAGUGAGCCGAGAUUGCGCCACUGCAUUCCAGC